UUAAAGGGUCCGUAGGCGGGCAAUUAAGUCAGAGGUGAAAUCCCAAGUCAGCUGUGGAACUGCCUUUGAUACUGAUUGUCUUGAGUUAUAGUGAAGUAGAUAGAAUGUGUAGUGUAGCGGUGAAAUGCAUAGAUAUUACACAGAAUACCGAUUGCGAAGGCAGUCUACUAACUAUUGACUGACGCUAAUGGACGAAAGCGUGGGGCGCGAACAGGAUUAGAUACCCUGGUAGUCCACGCCGUAAACGAUGGUCACUAGUUGUUGGGGUCUUGUACCUCAGUGAUUAAGAGAAAUUGAUAAGUGACCCACCUGGGGAGUACGAUCGCAAGAUUGAAACUCAAAGGAAUUGACGGGGGCCCGCACAAGCGGUGGAGCAUGUGGUUUAAUUCGAUGAUACGCGAGGAACCUUACCAGGGCUUAAAUGUAAGUUGCAUAAGACAGAGAUGUUUUUUUCUUCGGACUACUUACAAGGUGCUGCAUGGUUGUCGUCAGCUCGUGCCGUGAGGUGUCAGGUUAAGUCCUAUAACGAGCGCAACCCCUAUCGUUAGUUGCUAACAGGUCAAGCUGAGGACUCUAGCGAGACUGCCGGUGCAAAUCGAGAGGAAGGUGGGGAUGACGUCAAAUCAUCACGGCCCUUACGUCCUGGGCUACAC
rnacentral:rRNA from 1 species